rnacentral:rRNA from 1 species
UACAGAGGAGCCAAGCGUUGUCCGGAUUGACUGGGCGUAAAGCGCACGCAGGCGGAUGCGCGCGUGGGGUGUGAAAUCUGGCCGCUUAACGGCCAGGCGCCAUCCCAUACGGCGCGUCUGGAGUGAUGCAGAGGUCGGUGGAAUUGCCGGUGUAGUGGUGAAAUGCGUAGAGAUCGGCAGGAACACCCAGGGGGAAGCCAGCCGACUGGGCAUCUACUGACGCUGAGGUGCGAGAGCGUGGGGAGCGAACCGG